AUGGGAACCCUUCUUAUUUCUAAGAUUUGGGAGGAGUACCCUGACCGAAUGAUGCUGACCUUCUCUGUCUUCCCGUCACCAAAGGUCUCAGACACCGUUGUUGAGCUAUACAAUGCUACACUUUCUGUUCACCAACUCGUUGAGAAUGCUGAUGAGUGUAUGGUGCUUGACAGUGAAGCUCUAUACGACAUAUGCUUCCGCACACUAAAGCUUGCCACCCCUUCCUGUAAGCUAAUCUUCUCUUGA
rnacentral:rRNA from 1 species